AUGGCUGCGCCGGCCGCUGAUGCUCGUUGCCGCCCCACCAUGGUCACGGCCUCCAUCCCCUGGAAGCCAGCGCGGGCGGCGGCGGAAUCCGACUUCGAGCGGCACGCAGUCAUCGCGACGGUGCUGGGAAACCGCCCGGAGUUCACCGUCCACGACGUCUCCAUGGCUGCCUCCCUCCAGUUCGGCCUCCCGCGAACCCAGAUGCACGUGUCACUCUUCUCCCCUGGCGACUUCCUCAUCAGGUUCUCUGAUCCUCGCUUCAAGAGCAAAGCCCUGCGUAACCCUGCUCUGUUGUGGAUCGGCGGCGCCACCCUGCGCCUUACCGCCUGGUCUCGUCGCGCUGGGGCCAGUGUGGUCCGUCUGUCGUACAAGGUCCGCGUCUGUCUGGAGGGCGCCCCGAGACAUGCUUGGUCCAUCCCUGAUGUCAAGGAGUUGCUGCCCCCCACGGCCAUCGUCGAAUCCAUCGACGAAGAGGUAUACACGGACCAGGAGUCGGACUGCUGUUGCGCUUGGGCGUGGGUGGACGACGUGUCCAAGAUCGCCACAAGAGGUAGACUCUGGGUGGAGGAGCCUUGCAACCCCUCGUCGCUUGACUUCCAUCGUCAGUUCAUGGUGGGCACGCCGGCGGUGCGCCGCCACUUCGCGCCGGUCUCCUUACUGGACUACCCCAUCAUCAUCCACCUCGACUGGGUCCACGACCAUUUCGUUCGCCCGGCCAGCCCCGACAGCAACAAGAGCAUCAGCAGCGGCUUCAGUGGAAUCUUGCCCUCUCCCCUUGACGAUGGUGUGGUCAAAUGGCGCUACAACUGGCACCGGAAGUUCGUUGACAGCACCUUCCCCCCACGCACCCCUAGGGUCUCGGCCCACUCCCGCCUGAACUUUGGGGGUGGAGGUGACCGGGACGGGCCUGCCGGCGGGCAUGGCGGCAACGGUGGCGGCCGAUGGGGUGGCGAGUCGUCCGGCCGGCAGCAGCCACCAUCGGCCGGCGGCUACGGUCACUCUUCCGGCGCCUCAGGCAAUGGGGGCGAGGGUGGUGCUCACGGUGGGCGCCGUCACCAUGACGGCCUUGCUCCAUCGGGCGGGGCGACGCUGGCUGUGUCGGGUGGACACGGAAGCUCUUCUCACGGCGACUGCUCAUCUCCGUCUGGGAUGGCCACGACUAACGGUGUUGUCGGUCUGGUAGGCGGGCCCCCUUCCUCUGGCCUAGCUACAGGAGCUCUGCAUGCCUCGGUGGCUGUGGGCAUGCCCGCUGGGGAAUACUGGGCGUCUGAUCCAAACCGAUCCGAGCUGGGUUCAGAGCCAGUUUCUCUUCUCGUGUCUCCUGCAAUGGUGGCCCUUGUCCCCACCCCUAUGCUUGUACAUGAAGACAAGCUGGUCGGCCAGGACACUGCACCUGCUGCUCCUGCCUCCCCUGCACCCGCGCUGACCGUGUGUGCAGACGACAACCUCACCUCGCUGCUACACAUGGGAGAGGACCCCAGUGGCAUAUCGCUUGGUCUGGGCGCGUCCUCCGAGCCUCUCGUACACCUUGAUGCUCCAUCGGCCCAGGAUUGCGAGGCACUGUUGGGCCGGGACGCCGCAGCCACCAACCACUCGGGCCUCCUACCAGGCCUCGACGAACUCGUGGUGGGCUUCACGGGUCACUUGCAGCCUGCAACGACACGCACAAGACAGGAGGAACAACUCGACCACUUCAUCGCCACGUUCACCUGCCCUACUACGCCGCCGCUGAUGACCACGCCGACACACCCGACACCACCUCCUCUGGCCAUCCUCCCAUCAUCGCCGCCAACUGUUGCACCUCCCCACCAGAUGGCCACCAACGACUCCAGGCGAGCCUCGCGGCCAAGCCCACGCAUGGCAUGGCCACCCUUGACAAGAUCCAGGUCGUCCUCCUGA
rnacentral:rRNA from 1 species